GCUCAGUAACACGUGGAUAACCUACCCUUAGGAUCGGGAUAACCUUGGGAAACUGAGGAUAAUACUGGAUAGGCAAUUAUUCCUGCAAUGGUUUUUUGUUUAAAUGUUUUUUCGCCUAAGGAUGGGUCUGCGGCCGAUUAGGUAGUUGGUUAGGUAACGGCUUACCAAGCCAUUGAUCGGUACGGGUUGUGAGAGCAAGAGCCCGGAGAUGGAACCUGAGACAAGGUUCCAGGCCCUACGGGGUGCAGCAGGCGCGAAACCUCCGCAAUGUGAGAAAUCGCGACGGGGGGAUCCCAAGUGCCAUUCUUAACGGGAUGGCUUUUCAUUAGUGUAAAGAGCUUUUGGAAUAAGGGCUGGGCAAGACCGGUGCCAGCCGCCGCGGUAACACCGGCAGCUCUAGUGGUAGCAGUUUUUAUUGGGCCUAAAGCGUCCGUAGCCGGUUUAAUAAGUCUCUGGUGAAAUCCUGUAGCUUAACUGUGGGAAUUGCUGGAGAUACUAUUAGACUUGAGACCGGGAGAGGUUAGAGGUACUCCCAGGGUAGAGGUGAAAUUCUGUAAUCCUGGGAGGACCGCCUGUUGCGAAGGCGCCUAACUGGAACGGUUCUGACGGUGAGGGACGAAAGUUAGGGGCGCGAACCGGAUUAGAUACCCGGGUAGUCCUAACUGUAAACGAUGCGGACUUGGUGUUGGGGUGGCUUUGAGCUGCUCCAGUGCCGAAAGGAAAGCUGUUAAGUCCGCCGCCUGG
rnacentral:rRNA from 1 species